rnacentral:rRNA from 1 species
UACGUAGGGUGCGAGCGUUGUCCGGAAUUAUUGGGCGUAAAGAGCUCGUAGGCGGUCUGUCGCGUCGAUCGUGAAAACUUGGGGCUUAACCCUGAGCUUGCGGUCGAUACGGGCAUGACUGGAGUUCGGCAGGGGAGACUGGAAUUCCUGGUGUAGCGGUGAAAUGCGCAGAUAUCAGGAGGAACACCGGUGGCGAAGGCGGGUCUCUGGGCCGAUAUUGACGCUGAGGAGCGAAAGCGUGGGGAGCGAACGGG